rnacentral:lncRNA from 1 species
AUGGGAUAGUUCAACGGAAAAUAAAAAUUUGCUGAAACCUUAGUCGAAUUUGAGAAAUUUAGCAUUACAUCACUUGCUCACCAAUGGAUCCUCUGCAGUGAAUGGGUGCCGUCAGAAUGAGAGUUCAAGCAGCUGAUAGGAACAUCACAGUAAUCAAGUAAACUAAAAUACAGUCCUCUAUCCAUAAUAUUGAAUGAGGAGAGAGAUAUGCACAGAUCAAGCACCGUUUACAAGCAAAAACAGUUCGUAACAAAUAUGUCAGAGGAUAAACAAAUGGACAACAACAAGGGAAUGGACUAUUUCACUGGAGGAAGCAUUUUUUAUGUAUUAUGGACUUGUACUAUAAUGGUUACUUCGCCUCCAGCCACAAUAAGGAGCCAGGCAUCUUCUCCAAGCAGGCCGUGUCUCCAUCCAGCUCCCUCACUCAGGGAAUCCCGGCACCGAGAAGAUCAGGGUAUAUCCUCCAUGUGA